CACCCGGCGAAUUUAAGCAUAUUACUAACCGGAGGAAAAGAAACCAACAGGGACGUCCUCAGUAGCGGCGAGCGAAGCGGACGAUGCCCAAACCGAACCGCGGUUCCCGAGGGGGCCGCGGAGUGUGGAGAGGAUGAGCUCGCGAGGGGGCGGGACGGGUUCCAAUCCGUCUGGAAGGGCGGAGGCACGGAGGGCGAUUCCCCGUACGUGCUCGGUCCGUCCCCGACGAGCGAACGCAUCGGAGAGUCGGGCCGCUUGAGAGUGCAGCCCGAAUGGGGUGAUAGGUCUCAUCCAAGGCUAAGUACGUGGGAGACGCCGAUAGCGAACAAGUACGGCGACGGAAAGGUGAAAAGAACCUCGAAAGGGGGUCAAAAGCGCUCGAAAUCGUAGAGGGGGAAGCGGACCUGACCGACGAGACCUCGUCGUCGCUCGCGCUCGACCCACGCUUCGUCGCGGAG
rnacentral:rRNA from 1 species